GGGGAAUUUUCCGCAAUGGGCGAAAGCCUGACGGAGCAAUACCGCGUGAGGGAUGACGGCCUAUGGGUUGUAAACCUCUUUUUUCAGGGAGGAAUCAAUGACGUGUACCUGAAGAAUAAGCAUCGGCUAACUCCGUGCCAGCAGCCGCGGUAAGACGGAGGAUGCAAGUGUUAUCCGGAAUCACUGGGCGUAAAGCGUCUGUAGGUGGUUUAAUAAGUCAACUGUUAAAUCUUGAGGCUCAACCUCAAAAUCGCAGUCGAAACUAUUAGACUAGAGUAUAGUAGGGGUAAAGGGAAUUUCCAGUGGAGCGGUGAAAUGCGUAGAUAUUGGAAGGAACACCGAUGGCGAAGGCACUUUACUGGGCUAUUACUAACACUCAGAGACGAAAGCUAGGGUAGCAAAUGGGAUUAGAUACCCCAGUAGUC
rnacentral:rRNA from 1 species